UACGUAGGUGGCAAGCGUUGUCCGGAUUUACUGGGCGUAAAGGGCGUGCAGGCGGUCUGUUAAGUCUAGGGUGAAAGCUCCCGGCUCAACUGGGAGAGGUCCUUGGAUACUGGCGGACUUGAGGGAUGCAGAGGAAAGUGGAAUUCCCGGUGUAGUGGUGAUAUGCGUAGAUAUCGGGAGGAACACCAGUGGCGAAGGCGGCUUUCUGGGCAUUGCCUGACGCUGAGACGCGAAAGCGUGGGGAGCGAACCGG
rnacentral:rRNA from 1 species